GAAUCACGAUCUGUGGAACACGUGUCAAGGAGGGUUGUUCGCAAACGCUGUCUCGUGUCAACUUUGAUCGUGGGAAGAAAGAGAAAGAGAGGAGAGGAAUGAUGUGUGAAUGCCACGAAGAAAUCUGAGAGGAGGAGGAGGAGGAGGCCCGGGGGGCAUCCGGCGACGGCGAAGCAACGUUGAGAUCAACGUAGUUCGCGAUGCAGUUUACAACUCCUGCUGCUGCGCAUCAUAUCG